rnacentral:rRNA from 1 species
AUUGAACGCUGGCGGCAGGCUUAACACAUGCAAGUCGAGCGGAGAUGAGGUGCUUGCACCUUAUCUUAGCGGCGGACGGGUGAGUAAUGCUUAGGAAUCUGCCUAUUAGUGGGGGACAACAUUCCGAAAGGAAUGCUAAUACCGCAUACGUCCUACGGGAGAAAGCAGGGGAUCUUCGGACCUUGCGCUAAUAGAUGAGCCUAAGUCGGAUUAGCGAGUUGGUGGGGUAAAGGCCUACCAAGGCGACGAUCUGUAGCGGGUCUGGGAGGAUGGUCCGCCACACUGGGACUGAGACACGGCCCAGACUCCUGCGGGAGGCAGCAGUGGGGAAUAUUGGACAAUGGGGGGAACCCUGAUCCAGCCAUGCCGCGUGUGUGAAGAAGGCCUUAUGGUUGUAAAGCACUUUAAGCGAGGAGGAGGCUACUGAGACUAAUACUCUUGGAUAGUGGACGUUACUCGCAGAAUAAGCACCGGCUAACUCUGUGCCAGCCGCCGCCGUAAAAC